AAUAUCAUAUUUGCCCUAAUUUUUUGGUUGGUCCUAAUUAGUCCUAAAAUUGCAUUAAUGCAUUUUCUAUGAGUAUCUGAGCCCUAAUUGGUUUGGAAGUUGUUGUACGCCACAAUGCUUACAUGCUCUCUAAUUUUGUCCUAAUUCGUGAUUUUUUUUUAUGAUUCCUUAUAUUUUUGUUGGUUUGGCUACAAAUCUGGCCGAAUAUUCGAUUGAAUCCGAAUGUGUACCAACAGCAAAUAGAAUCACUUAAUAGGU
rnacentral:lncRNA from 1 species